rnacentral:rRNA from 1 species
AGGCAGCAGUGAGGAAUAUUGCGCAAUGGGGGAAACCCUGACGCAGCAACGCCGCGUGUGGGAAGAAGGCCUUCGGGUCGUAAACCACUUUUGCACGGGACGAAAAAGGGAUAUCGAACAAAUAUCCCCGAUGACGGUACCGUGAGAAUAAGCCACGGCUAACUCUGUGCCAGCAGCCGCGGUAAGACAGAGGUGGCAAGCGUUGUUCGGAAUUACUGGGCGUAAAGAGUCUGUAGGUGGUUUGUCAAGUCUUUGGUGAAAGGCCGUAGCUUAACUAUGGGAAUGCCAAAGAGACUGGCAGGCUGGAGGCUGGGAGAGGGAAGCGGAAUUUCUGGUGUAGCGGUGAAAUGCGUAGAUAUCAGAAGGAAGGCCGGUGGCGAAGGCGGCUUCCUGGAACAGUCCUGACACUGAGAGACGAAAGCGUGGGGAGCAAACAGGAUUAGAUACCCUGGUAGUCCACGCCCUAAACGAUGGGUACUAAGUGUGGAGGGGUUAAACCCUCCGUGCCGCAGCAAAC